GUCUUGUUAUGAUUAUCAGUGUCACCUGUGUUUCCCCGUGUGCUCCCACUUCCCUCGUUAACCCUCUGUGUAUUUAUGUCUGCCUCUCCCUCAGUUCUGUGUCGCGUUCUCCCUCACGGCUGUGUUUCCCUCCGUGUGUUUCCUCGUGAGUCAGUUCCUUAGUACUUCCCAGUUUAGUUUCAUAUUAUUUUGUAUCGCCUUUAUCAUCCGUCAGCAAUAAAGCUGUAUUUUGAGUUCAGUCCUGUUUUCCUGUGAGUUUGCGUUUGGGUCCUCAUCCUGCCUGCCACACAGCGACACAUGACAUAAGUACUGUAUAAGUGUCAUAUCCCAAGAUGCCAGUCAUGCUGCCAGUGCCAUAUGUGAUACUGAGAGGUCUGCCAUUUUGUCUGUAUGUGCUGCUCCUACGAGGGUCAAACUUGGCGUGGUUGUCUAAAAACACACAAUCACCACGUGAUUGGUGCCUUCGCAAUCACCAAGUCCCAAGCCACCUGAGAAAUAUAGAGGAGGAGGAGGCCCUCUUCUCAUUCUGGCUGGACAUGUGACCUCAUCACCAGACAAUGGGAUUGAGGACAUCAUUAAAGUGUUCCUUCCACCGUCUGACUUUGUCCUCAGAUGAGUCGAGCUUUUGUUUCAGCUACUGCAAGAUCGACAUUCAGCUUGGCCCAGCAGUCAGCUGCCGCUGAAGUCCCACAGGCUAACAAAGCCCAACAAGACUCCUUCUCAGGCUGAUGGCUCCCUUCACCUGCAGUGUCUACCACUGUGCGCUUUCAAACAUCAAACGGGUUUGAGCCAAAAUAGUAACACAUAAAAACCAUCCUAUAAGUGUAUCACUCACCAGUGGUUAUCGCAUAUAAGGAGAUAAAAGGAUCAAAAAUCAUAUGAUUUAUAAAUUAUUUAUAUGUCCAUAGUCAGGGGUUAAGGAGUUUUUUCUUUCUUUCUUUGGAAAUAACGCUGCAAGGAGUGCAGAUGUCAUUGUGUGAGCAUCUAGUUAGCUACAGAGGAGGAGCAAGAAUAAAGGAAGUAAUAUUUUUCAAGUGCCAGGUCAUUUUAAAUGCAAUGUUUCUAUCAGGUCAACAAACAUCAGUAAACACACAAACUAUUUGUGUGCCAUUCGUUGUACAUUGUGUCUGCUAGCUAAAGGUAUAUGUGCUGUAUUGCCAAGGGAGAGAAGAGAACAAGAGCUAACUUCACUGAGAGACGGAGAAAGGUGUAAAACGACUGGACACAAGAGGAAGAAGAAAGGUUAUAUUAAGAAGUAAGAACUGCUCAGUGGCAUUUGAUAAACUGAAAAUGUAAAACUUAAAUGUAAUGUCCUAAUUUUUAAAUCCGAUAUUUGAUCUGUAUUUUAUGAAAUUAUGAUUUUUCAAAUUGACCUCAAACUGAGGUAUACUAACUUUGUGCUAUUUAAAGGUUGCAUUAAAAAACUC